AGGCGCUUUUUCGUACAUUAAAUAAGAGACGUAAGAAAGCAGCAGAAUAGCCACUUUCCGCCACCGCAAGCCGUUUACAGUGUGAGGUGCAAUGGGUUCCGAUUGCGCUGACUGAACUCUGAAGGUUGAGAGAGUUCACUGGGGGCAAGGAUCAAAUAUGAAGUGAAAAAAUAAUAAUAGGGCACGCGUAAAGCAUUUAGAAAGAUGAGGAUGGCAAUUGCCCCCAACAAAACAAUGUAAAUCCGCCACUUGAGAAAAAAGCACAGAAUAGAUAUCUUGGAUUCACUGAGGGUUUGGACAAAAGUUACUGGGUUUCUGGCAAUCCACAUAGUAUACACUGCAUCCGCCCCUGACUACUGAUUGUAGUGGAGCGCCUUCUUUGAAUAAGAAAUGACUGCUACAACCCUUGUGAAUAUGUGUUAACUGCUAACUAAAAUCAAUGUUCAUCAAUGAGUGCAUGCUCAAAGAAUACAAUGUAUGAUGGAUGUGCAGUUAUACAAGAGUAGACAAGAUUAGAAGUGAUCACGUUGGCAAGAAGGUUCAAGUAAGGCAUCAAUGAUAAAUUAGAGAAGAUCGCUUGAAUUGAUUUGGUCGUGACCCACGUCAACCACAAAAUGUGUAAGUCCAUAGAUGUGAAACCAUGGUGAAUAAAGGUAAUAAAAGAGGAUGAAGUUGUCUCUAAGUAUAUACAAUCUCUUGGGAUCCAUGCAGAUCUAGUGAAACAUAAGGUGCAAUGGAAGAAAAAGAUCUGUAUAGGUGAUACCUUAGUUGAGAAUAUGUUUUAAUGAUGUUGGCAAUUUUACUUUACGUCCUCUGCUUUUCUAAUAGGUAGUAUUAUUAUUACUUUGAAUAAUAUUGGUUUGCGAUGAGUUUAUAUAGAGUAACAUGGUCAGUAAGGAUUCAUAUAGCAAACCCAACUUGUUUGAGUCUGAGGUACGACUGUUAUUGUAUUUGUUAAUUUGAUAAUGGUGAUUGAAACAACAUAAUCAUCCUAAAGUUCUAUCUG